CAGCAGACAAAUCUUUUUCCGUUUAUCUGCCCGGUGUUGUGAUCAUCUUUAUAACUGGAGUUAUCGUGGGAUUUAUCUACUGGAGGAAAAGUAAUGGGUCAGGAACAUCUGGAGUGUCUGUACCUGAAAAUCCCAACGGUUUGGAUGACGAUGAGCCAGAUCAGCCCUAUACAAACCUUCAGCAGCCAUCGAGUGAUUCCUACCAGACUAUCAUCUCAGUGAACCAUCAAC